rnacentral:piRNA from 1 species
UAGUGUACAAGGAUAUUUUAA